rnacentral:rRNA from 1 species
CCUACGGGAGGCAGCAGUGGGGAAUAUUGCACAAUGGGGGAAACCCUGAUGCAGCGACGCCGCGUGAGUGAAGAAGUAAUUCGUUAUGUAAAGCUCUAUCAGCAGGGCAGAAAAUGACGGUACCUGACUAAGAAGCCCCGGCUAACUACGUGCCAGCAGCCGCGGUAAUACGUAGGGGGCAAGCGUUAUCCGGAUUUACUGGGUGUAAAGGGAGCGUAGACGGCAGGGCAAGUCUGGAGUGAAAGGCGUGGGCUCAACCACGGGACUGCUUUGGAAACUGUGCGGCUGGAGUGCAGGAGAGGUAAGUGGAAUUCCUAGUGUAGCGGUGAAAUGCGUAGAUAUUAGGAGGAACACCAGUGGCGAAGGCGGCUUACUGGACUGUAACUGACGUUGAGGCUCGAAAGCGUGGGGAGCAAACAGGAUUAGAUACCCGAGUAGUC